rnacentral:rRNA from 1 species
AGUGCCUACGGGGCGCAGCAGUGAGGAAUAUUGGUCAAUGGCCGGAAGGCUGAACCAGCCAAGCCGCGUGAAGGACGAAGGUGCCAAGCAUUGUAAACUUCUUUUGUCAGGGGACAAAAUCAGGCUCGAGAGCCUGACCGAGGGUACUUGAAGAAAAAGCAUCGGCUAACUCCGUGCCAGCAGCCGCGGUAAUACGGAGGAGGCGAGCGUUAUCCGGAUUUAUUGGGAUUAAAGGGUGCGUAGGCGGACUGUUAAGUCAGCG